rnacentral:sRNA from 1 species
AUACUGCCCAAGCGGGGAAGGAUGAGAAGCUUCGACCAAGGUUCGACUUGAGCGCCAGCGAGAGAGCGUUGCCGCAGGCAACGACCCGAAGGGCGAAGUGCGCAGCGCUGAGUAAUCCUUCCCCCACCACCA